ACGCUCGACACCUACGGGGGCAGCAGUGGGGAAUAUUGCACAAUGGGGGAAACCCUGAUGCAGCGACGCCGCGUGAGCGAAGAAGUAUCUCGGUAUGUAAAGCUCUAUCAGCAGGGAAGAAGAUGACGGUACCUGACUAAGAAGCACCGGCUAAAUACGUGCCAGCAGCCGCGGUAAUCUGAGCGGGCUGGCAAGGC
rnacentral:rRNA from 1 species